GGUGGGGAUGACGUCAAAUCAUCAUGCCCUUAUGAUCUGGGCUACACACGUGCUACAAUGGCCGGUACAACGGGCAGCGAAGGAGCGAUCCGGAGCGAAUCCUAAAAGCCGGUCCCAGUUCGGAUUGCAGGCUGAAACUCGCCUACAUGAAGUUGGAGUUGCUAGUAAUCGCGAAUCAGAAUGUCGCGGUGAAUGCGUUCCCGGGUCUU
rnacentral:rRNA from 1 species